UAAACAGAAGUAUUAACUACAUUUGACUUCGAAUCAAAAAAAGGCGCAAGCCCUGUUUAA
rnacentral:tRNA from 1 species